AUACGGAGGGUGCAAGCGUUGUUCGGAAUUACUGGGCGUAAAGGGCGCGCAGGCGGUUUGGUAAGUCAGAUGUGAAAGUCCAGGGCUUAACCCUGGAAGUGCAUAUGAAACUGUCAGACUUGAGUAUCAGAGGGGAAAGUGGAAUUCCCGGUGUAGAGGUGAAAUUCGUAGAUAUCGGGAGGAAUACCGGUGGCGAAGGCGACUUUCUGGCUGAAUACUGACGCUGAGGCGCGAAAGCGUGGGGAGCGAACAGGAUUAGAAACCCCAGUAGUCC
rnacentral:rRNA from 1 species